GGUGAAUCUGUGGUCAUGCUAGGUCUCCGACUUGCUUGAUUACAGUGAACCCUCAUCUAGAGUUUUUCUCUUCGAUAACAUAUUGUUGCUAGUAGUCCCUACUGCCGCAAUAUGUUCUUCGAUGGGGAUGAUACCUCUAGAGACCAUCAAGAGAGAUAUGACCACCUUGGGAAUUAUCACUAAAAGCCCUUUUAGCUCCCUC
rnacentral:lncRNA from 1 species